rnacentral:rRNA from 1 species
CCCUUAGAUGUCCUGGGCUGCACGCGCGCUACACUGAUGUGUCCAGUAAGCACCUAACCUCUUCCGAAAGGAACGGGUAACCUUUGCAAAGCACAUCGUGAUGGGGAUAGAUUAUUGCAAUUAUUAAUCUUCAACGAGGAAUGCCUAGUAAGCGCAAGUCAUCAGCUUGCGUUGAUUACGUCCCUGCCCUUUGUACACACCGCCCGUCGCUCCUACCGAUUGAAUGGUCCGGUGAAGCGUUUGGACUAUGGUUUUCUGAUGGUCCGCCGUUGGAUUACCGUGGGAAGUUCGUUAAACCUUAUCAUUUAGAGGAAGGAGAAGUCGUAACA